rnacentral:tRNA from 1 species
UGCUAGGAUGGCCGAGUGGUUAAGGCGCUGGACUUUAAGAUCAAAUGGAUGUUUGUAUCCCGCGGGUUCGACCCCCACCUUAGCAA